GCCUCGUUAGCUCAGCUGGAUAGAGCAUCCGCCUUCUAAGCGGACGGUCAGGGGUUCGAGUCCCUUACGGGGUA
rnacentral:tRNA from 1 species